rnacentral:rRNA from 1 species
AACGAACGCUGGCGGCAUGCCUAACACAUGCAAGUCGAACGAUACCUUCGGGUCUAGUGGCGCACGGGUGCGUAACGCGUGGGAACCUGCCCUUAGGGUCGGAAUAGCUCCCCGAAAGGGGUGCUAAUACCGGAUAAUGGCUUCGGACCAAAGAUUUAUCGACUUUGGAUGGGCCCGAGUGGGUUUAGGUAGUUGGUAGGGUAAACGCCUACCAAGGCGACGAUCCAUAGAUGGUCUGAGAGAAUGAUCAGCCACACUGGGACUGAGACACGGCACAGACUCCUACGGGAGGCAGCAGUGGGGAAUAUUGGAAAAUGGGCGAAAGCCUGAUCCAGCAAUGCCGCGUGAGUGAUGAAGGUCUUAGGGUUGUAAAGCUCUUUUACCCGGGAUGAUAAUGACAGUACCGGGAGAAUAAGCCCCGGCUAACUCCGUG